CCGGCUCAGGGAGGUGGGGACAGGGAGAACUAGCCUCCGGGCCUCUGCUGCCUCCAGAGAGAGGGUGCAGGAGGAUGCUGGGGCGGGAAUCCUUCCGGAAGGGCACGGGCAUGAGAACAGAGAGGUGAAGCCCCCUUGGUCUCAGGCGGUAUUUCCUCAUGCUCCUUCCCCUCACGGCCUGACUCAGACAGGUGGUUCAGGACGUAGACCUUCAGGAGAAGAGCAAGAACCUUGUUACUGGUGGCGUGCCCUCUGGUCUUCCCAGGACAUGGAUCCUCUUACCGCCUACGUUCUGGUCACUCACUGCAAAGCAACUUCCCGACGUGGAGACAUGCUGGGCCAGUCUUGUCUGCAUUCGAGGGGGCAGCCGGGCGGCAGGAGGGAGCAGACAGUGCACGGGUGAUCAGGCCAGGCAGGGGCCAGGGGGGCGGGGAAGGGGGGGUGCGGGGGAAUAUUCCAGAACUGGAGACCUCGAAGCUGCUGGCAGAGGAGCUAGACCAGUAGGCAGACUGCCCGUGGGGCUGCAGAAGGGGAGUGUCCUCCCUGCAAUGGAGCCCCCAUCGGUGUCCCCACGAGAUGCUCCAGAACGAUCGAAGGGGCACAUUUACUCUGGAGAGCUAGGGAUGCGGGGCUGAGCCCAGUGGGAUGCUGGCGUUCAGGCUGCAGGAGCCACCUGGGAAGGCAGAGGUGAGGUGGUGGGAGGGCUAGGCCCUUCCAGGGCCUCCCCGGGACCUCCCUCCUCCUUCCAGGGGCUGGUGCUGCGGGACCCCACACUCCUCGAGCCACCCUCUGCCCCAGCACGGCGCUUCGUGCCCAGGAAUCUCCACCUGGGAAAUCUACGGAGUCUGGGACCAGCAGCACUCACUCAAGUGGAACAAGUGACUGGAGAGACUUUGAGGGUCCGGAGGGACAGCUGGGACUACAUCAGGGCCACAUCCUUCCCACUGGAAGGAAAGAGCUAGGGACCCGGCUGGGAAGUCCUCAGGGGUCCAGGACUGGUCUCUGCAACCUUGGGGCAGGGAGGGAGGAAGGCUGUGGCUCAGGAGGGCAGGACCAAUGUGGGUGUGACUGGUCCGUUUGUGCGGAGGCUGUGACCUGGGAAGUGUGGGCACCAGAUCGGACCCGCCAGAUAAACUCUCACCUGGAGACCAUCUAGGCGCUCAAGGGGUCAGAGUCCAGGCUAGAGAGUGGAGGAGAUGGGAGGGGCCAAGGCACAGGACCCGGGGGUCGGGGGGGACACCCUCCUGUUGGUCCAGGACCAGGGGUGCCCCCCCCCCCCGAGAAGGAGGGGACGCCCGGCUAAGGUUUCCACCCUCGGGAUUGUGACCAGACAGCCUGGGAGGGUGAACAGCCUGCCUCUCGGUGCAGGUGACCAACGACCAGGGCUGAGGCCAGGCUGCGGCUAAUCAGACCAGACGCUCCCGCCCUACCCGCCCCAGUCGUGUUGUGUCGUGUGCGGGGUGUGCAGAUGUCUCAGCCCAGCAGGCCCAGGGAGCCUGGGCCAGGCCAUGCCCGCACGGGCUGCUGAAGGGGACUCAGGGACGGGUCACCCGAAGCCUGCCCUCCGGGGGCUCCGUGUCCUGUGUCGGGGAUUUCCUCCAGGGUACAGACACCUGUCCUCUCGCCUCCUGCCUCGCUGGUCCCUGCUGCCCAGAGAGACCCUCCCCUCCCCGGACCUCCUUUGCCCUUGGACACUCCUUGAGGCUUCCAGGUAGGAAGGGCCUUUGUCAGAACAGAGAAACCAAAACCUAAACUUGCCCCCGAGGACUUAGGGAUAUGGCAGUUGGCAGAGAAGUUCUUCCCACGUUGAUGCCCGUGAGGGUGGCACGAGCGGCCUGAGUCUAGGAAGGGGUGGGGCCAUCGAUGCCAACUCAGCAGCUUCCAGGAGCUCUGAUGGCAUAUAAGGCUCCCAGGUCCUUACAGGGCACCCCGAGAGGCGGGCAUAGACCGUGACCAGGCAGAGAAGCAGCGGACAGAGAGCCGGAGACGGUGAAGGGACCGACAUGGAGGCUGGCGCCCGGGCCUGGGACAGUUGCCUGCUGGACAAGGACACCUUCCUGGAAAACUUCCACCUUGAGUGGUGGCCAAAUAAGGCCUACAUCUGCUAAGAGACGGAGCUCCCCAGCGGUGACCCCGGGGUCCCUCUGGGCCAACACAAGGACAUCCUGUGCAAUAAGGUUGGACCAAUCUCCACAGUCCUAGGAGCCCCCACAGUGACAUUCAUCCCAUGGACCCUGGGGGCCUCGCUCCUUGGCGCCCCUCCCCCCUUGUCACUGCACAGGGAGCCCUUUUGUAUCCCACAGCAAAUGACACAACCCUUUCCUGCCUCCUCUAUGCUCGGCCUGCCCGGGGAGGUCAGCCGGACUGCCACGCGGAGUUGUGCCGGCUGCAGCGGAUCCAGGCCUGGGAGCUGCUUUCUGUCCUGGAGAACAGACACGUGACCCCACACCCCUUCGCCUCCCACCUCCAUACCGAGGAAGGAUUUCAGAAUGGGUUGCGCCUCCUGUGGGGGGCCGGGGCCCGCAUCGCCAUCAUGACCUCCACCGGUCCGUGUGGAGCUCCCGGGGUGGGCGGUGGGCAGGGAGAGGCCUGGGGGCACUGGCUACGAAGGCGUGGGCAGGAGUGGAAUCCCUGGCGGAAGCCUCUGGUGGCUGCACAGGCCAGGCUGACCUGGGACGGCAGGGGACAGCGGAGCGUGCUGGAAGAGAGAGUGGGGGCCAGGAGAGGAGUCUGGAACGGGGGGGGGGGGGAGAAUAGCGGACUUGCAAGAGAGACGUGGGUGGGGUGUCCCGAGAGGAGGGGAAUCCGGCUGGCCGAGAGUGCAGGCUGAAGAAAGAGUCCCGGGGGUGAAAGGAGUCGCCAGGAGGACAGAGGGCAGCGGCGCCGUUAUGAAGGGCAAAGCCUGUCCCUGAGAGUCAGACACCCUGUGGCCACCCCUGUGGCCCAGCUCUCCUCCCACCCCGCCCCGCCCCACUGCUGAGUUUGAGCACUGCCGGGAACCCUUCGUGGACAAUCAGGGAAGAGCCUUCGAGCCCCGGGACACGCUGGUCUCCCAGAGUCAGGACCUUGCUGAGACGCUGCAGGUCACAGGUGAGCUCCCUCCUCCCCAAGGCCUCCCCUGCCCUCCUCCACUCUGUCCUCUCUGGCCUUUCCCUGUCCCCCUCCUCUUCCUCUGGGUCACCUGCUCCCUCCCAGGGUGCCAGCUCCACCCCUGCCCCACCCAAGCCUCCUGCCUCGGCUUCCCCACCUCCUCAUGUCCCCCUCCCUUCCCAUCUUUGUGGCUGCCAGACCACUUCUGUGUGCCCUCUGUCCACCUGUCUCACUGCCCGCCCCACCCACCUUCACCCUCCUGUUCUGGAGCAGAAAGCCUGAAGGGUGGGCCUCAGUCCCGCUAAGAAUGCAGGAGGCCUCUGUUGGACAGCAGAAUAAAACACUUCCUCCCAAGAAAUGUACACUUGCCCUUCACCGCCAUCCCCAGAUUGAUGUAAUGAAGCCAGCAGAAGGCAAUGAGCCCAGAGCAAAUAGUCUUAAAAAAAUAAAUAAAUAAGAACUGAGUAGGUUUGCUUGUCAUUGAAAAUCUCUCUUCUGUUCCAAAUAUACAUCAUGAAGAUUGCACUCAGCGCUGUCAGAAGAGUUUUCAGAGUUUAGAGAAGUAAUUACUGUAAUUGAUUCUGGGCAACCCUUAUGGCCAGGGAUCUAGAGACCAAAAACCUCCUCCUACAAGCCAUCCUGUCAGCAGCACUGACUGCAAGUGACAGCCACGCUCUGCAAGAGAAGAGGAAAGAGUCUGCUGGAGAGGAACCUCCCCUCUGAGCGCACACGGUGCACAGACAAGGGACUGGACGCCCAGGGGACUGGGACCGGCACCCAGGCGGGAUCCCUCCCGCCGCCGGGCUCACCGUGGCCCUCAUGCCGGGCUCCGUGGAAUCCAGACCCCGCUG